rnacentral:lncRNA from 1 species
UAAGCAAAUGUUUAGACAGUAAAAAGAAAGUAUUAAAGAGGGUGUAAAUAGGUAAAAGAUGAAGGACUAAAUAAUAAAAGAAGAAAACCAUGGAUUGUAGUCGCGGUUUUGGUACAGUAUUAAGGGAAAAGAAGAAUACCGUUAGCUAAGAACGAAAACCAUGGCUGUAACUGCCAUUACACGUGUGAUAACACGUGUCUAAGGGAGACAAACCCUAUGCAAUGCUUGGAAAUAGAAAUCACCUUUUCUUAUGUUUUAUUGUGAUUGCUUUGAAAAUCUCUGACAUUUUCAUCACUUUAGAU